UUUGACUCCAGUUGAUCUCAGCCUCUGUACAACAUUUAAGUGACUCACAACAUUCAGGACACAUCUACCGUGGACCUUCCUCGGUCACUGGAGGCGAGAAUGUCCCUCCUUGAGAUCCCGGAAGCGAGCAGGCUUCAAGUGAAGGUUGUCCAAGUCUCGUUGAAUUCAAGGAUCCAUUCAGGGAUGCAAUUUGGCAAUCUGCCUUUUUGAUAGCUUUCUGCUGGACUUCAAUGUCUGGGUGCUAAAUUGCCACAUAAAAUAUGUAGUGAGACACCAGCAGGUUCGUGUACCAGACCGCGUUGUCUGUAUGUCAACACGGGGUUACCAUGACGACGAGAUGCCUUCAAAGAUCAUUGUGAAUUUCACUAUCAAAUCUGA